GAGAGAGAGAGAGAGAGAGAGAGAGAGAGAGAGAGAGAGGGAGUGCGAGAGAGAGAUCGUUCGAUUCUAACGGCGGUGAGGCAGAGAGAGAGAGACCGUUCGAUCCUAACGGCGGCGAGAGAGACAGAGACCGAUCGAUCCUAACGGCGGCGAGAGAGAGAGAGAGACCGUUCGAUCCUAACGGCGGAGAGAGAGAGAGCAAGCGGACCUGAAGAACAAGUCAGAGGAGGUCUUGACUCUUGCGUGUUCGUGGACGAGGACUGAGACGAUGAUUUGAUUCGACUCAGAACAAACACGGUCGCCGGCGUGCGGUUAGGGUUAAUAACGUAGCGAUCACAAGGCGACGAAAGAGAGAGAUAGACCCAAAACAAGUCAGAGGUUUGUGACUGUGGCUGUGUGUUCUAUAGGUUUACCACUAAGAGGGAGGGGACUUAUCUGGUAAGUUUGUUGUCAGGACGGUGAUGUGUGGUUUGGUUGAGCUGUGAUGAUGCGUCUCUGGAGCUUCCUGCUAGUUCCAAUUCUUACAUGACAAGUGAUCCUGGUGUUGUGAACUACUUCAAUCUUUUGGUAGAGAGAUGAAGCUCAAUCGUCAAGUCAGGCCAGUCAGACUCAUUACUUCCCAUCCAUAUGAGAGACUGAGAAUUUUGUUUUCCUGCUUGUGCUUCUCUAGAUGAUGGAGAUAUUAUCAAGGAUGAUGCUAAACUCGUGGACCCAAAUGAUGGUAGAAUUCUCUUCACCGUACCAUAAUUCAGAACAAAACCCUUGAUUUUACUGAGCUAAAUGGAAUCCAGAAGCAGGUUUGCUUAAAAAGCUUGAAGCUAAGUAUAAGAUUGGAGAUAUGCUAUGGUUUGAAGAUUCAGAACCAAAAAGAAUUGGGAAAAUCGAAGUGGACGAGAACGGAAGAUGUAUUGAGUCAUAAACCUGAGAUUCUUGUUACACUGUUGAUAGAAAGAAAAACAAGAAACAAAGAAAACACAAUGUAGAAUCUGUGUUUUAAAGCAAGAAGGUUCAUAGCAAAGCAAUCAGAUGAUGCUCUUCUCGGAGCUGUUGGAUGGUUCGUGCGGCUCUUGAAGUAUUUAUCAAUUUUAAGACCGAUAACAGUGUUAAAGUGACGAGAGAGUAAACAGGCCUGAACAAGUCAGAGGUUUGUGUCUGUGGCUGUGUGUUCCAAACCAGGACGAUGAAUCAUAAUUUUUCAAGGACGUACGAAAGCAUCAAGGUUUAUCACUCAUAGGGAGGGGACUUAUCUUGUAAGUAUGUUGUUGUCAUGACGGUGAUCUUGGUUGAGCUGUCAUGAUGCGUCUUUGGAGGUUUAGCACUUUGAGCCCAGUUGAUCUUUAUCUAUCCUCGUCUUCUUAGCUUCUAUCAUGUUGUUAGUCGAAACUUUAAAAUGCCAAUGACAAGAGACUGCUUCUGCCCCCAGUCAUAGGCUUCCUGCUAGUUCCAAUUCUUACAUUACAAGUGAUCCUGGUGUUGUGACUUGUAAGGAGCUACGUACUUCUUUUUGGUAGAGAGAAGUCAGACUCACUCAAUCGUCAAGUCAGGCAAUGAUAGGCUUCCUGCUAGUUCCAAUUCUUACAUGACAAGUGAUCCUGGUGUUGUGACUUGUAAGGAACUACUUGCUUCUUUUGGUAGAGAGAAGAAGCUCAAUUGUCAA